CAGCCAAAGCCUUGUUGAGUUCCAAUACGAAAUCCCUAUAAUACCUAACGUAUUUCCUAAGAGGUGCAUCAGGCGGUGCAACCACUGAUCCAUUCCAUAGGGUGUUGUCAUAUCCAAUUAGUCCGCCAACUUUGACCAGGUCGAUUAAUCUCAUUGUGAUAGUUUAAAUAAUUGUCUUUGUCAGCAUCCACGAAUAUGAAAUCAUAUGAUCCAUGGUAUUUGCCCUGUUACAAAAGUGAUGAACAAUCAUUAAUUUUAACUAUCAUAGACAAGCUUCUAAUUUGUUCAUUUGGUAUUUAGGUACGUACGUCUUCAAUCAUUUGGUCAAGAACGGGAAGUGCAGGUCCUUCUUUGAAUUCAAUUUUGUGAGCUAGUCCAGCUUUUUCAAUUACUGGAAGACCAAUCUCGUAGUUGUCCCGGUUGAUAUCCAUGGCUAAAAU
rnacentral:lncRNA from 1 species